GGAAACGAAUGGUAAUACCACAUAACAUUACGUUCUCGCAUGGGGAUGUAAUCAAAGAUUUAUCGCUGAGAGAUGGACUCGCGUCCGAUUAGCUAGAUGGUGAGGUAACGGCCCACCAUGGCGACGAUCGGUAGCCGGACUGAGAGGUUGAACGGCCACAUUGGGACUGAGACACGGCCCAGACUCCUACGGGAGGCAGCAGUGGGGAAUAUUGCACAAUGGGGGAAACCCUGAUGCAGCAACGCCGCGUGAAGGAAGACGGUCUUCGGAUUGUAAACUUUUGUUCUUGGUGAAGAAGAAUGACGGUAGCCAAGGAGGAAGCCGCGGCUAACUACGUGCCAGCAGCCGCGGUAAUACGUAGGUGGCAAGCGUUGUCCGGAAUUACUGGGUGUAAAGGGAGCGCAGGCGGGAAAUCAAGUUGGAUGUGAAAUGUCGGGGCUUAACCCCGGAACUGCAUCCAAAACUGAUAUUCUUGAGUGAAGUAGAGGUAGGCGGAAUUCCGAGUGUAGCGGUGAAAUGCGUAGAUAUUCGGAGGAACACCAGUGGCGAAGGCGGCCUACUGGGCUUUAACUGACGCUGAGGCUCGAAAGUGUGGGGAGCAAACAGGAUUAGAUACCCUGGUAGUCCACACUGUAAACGAUGAUUGCUAGGUGUGGGGGGUCUGACCCCCUCCGUGCCGGAGUUAACGCAAUAAGCAAUCCACCUGGGGAGUAC
rnacentral:rRNA from 1 species